GACGUAGGGAGCGAGCGUUGCUCGGAAUCACUGGGCGUAAAGGGUGCCAAGGCGGCCAUGUUAGUCUUCCGUAAAAUCCAGGAGCUCAACUUCUGGCCCGCGGGAGAAACGGCAUGGCUCGAGGGUGGGAGAGGUGCGUGGAACUCACGGUGUAGGGGUGAAAUCCGUUGAUAUCGUGGGGAACACCAAAGGCGAAGGCAGCGCACUGGCCCAUUCCUGACGCUCACGCACGAAAGCCAGGGUAGCGAACGGG
rnacentral:rRNA from 1 species